UCAUGCAUAGGUAUACAAAGCGACAUCUAUACUACGGCAAUACUUGUUAGACAACAAGUGACCCAUGGCGAGGUAUCGUGGGUGGAGAAGGGCGUUAGGCCCAAAUUUUAACAAGAGUGAAUAUUAGAAUUCAGUCAUGUGGGAAAAUCCAGUUGUGGAAAAAUCCAAUAGCAUGAAACUUGUCUUGAAGGACUAAUCUACGUCCAUCUCAGUCAUCUUGGAUAUCAUAUAAACCAAGGACAACAUCCAUCACAGUCUCCUUGGAUAUCAUAUAAACCAAGGACAACAUCCAUCUCAGUCCUCUUGGAUAUCAUAUAAACCAAGGCCAUCAUCCAUCACAGUCUUCUUGGAUAUCAUAUAAACCAAGGACAUCAUCCAUCUCAGUCCUCAUGGAUAUCAUAUAAGCCAAGGACAUCAUCCAUCUCAGUCCUCUUGGAUAUCAUAUAAACCAAGGACAACAUCCAUCACAGUCCUCUUGGAUAUCAUAUAAACCAAGGACAGCAUCCAUCACAGUCCUCAUAUAAACCUCUGCAAAAAGUCUUUUGAAAUGUAUUUGAAUAAAGUCUUACUGUUGGUUUUCAUUUCCAGCCAACCUUUUUUAAUA